UUGACAUUACUCUCUUUCAGUUAGACCACAAACCAAAGCAACAAAAAAGGCAAAACACAAUACCAAAACAACACAGAACCAUCACCUCCACCUUAUGAUUAGAAUCAGAUACCAAAAUCAUCCCCAACUCAAGAUCAAACACUCAAAAAUGCAACAAAAUCCAAGAACCUGCAAACAAGGAACUUCCCACUUCUUGAUCAACAUCUAAACAAUUAUAUACGUGCAAUCCUCUUCCAUUCACAGAACAAUAACCAAUUUCAAUGCCCAAAAACACAAUACCAGAGCAACCCAAUCCACGACCUCUAACUCACAAUACACGAAGACAGCGAUCCUGAGUACACUUCAAUUGACCCGCAAUCCCUAAUCUGUUCCUUGAUUGUAACCCUAAUACUCCAAGAAUGCGAAAAUUGAGGCCUCCCCAGUAAUCGAUCAGACGAAAACCCUACACUCCAAAAGAAACAUGCUAAGCACAUCUCUCAGUUCCAAAAAAACAAAAAACAAAACCGUAAUUCAAUCCUUAAAAAUCGAAAACAAAAAAGUUUCAUCAAAGUUCAAAAAUGGAGUGUUGAUCAUUACUAUUCAACAAUGGAGUUUUCUAUCUUUGGCUGCCGAGCUCGAGAAGCAGAGGCACGAGAUCGACUGGAUUCUUCGUCUACAGGGUUUUUCUUGAUUUGUGAUGAACACGGUGAAACAGAGUGAGAGACUGAGGACUGCUCUUCUGGAAGAAACAAGGCAACAAAUUGGGUUUUACUGAAGCGAUACAAAGCGAAAACGAUGGGUUUGAUGUGGGAGAAAGAGAAAGACUUGGUGACUGCGAAGAAGAGGACAAUGGAGCUCGAGUGCUUGAGAAGGCAGGAGCUGGAGAUGGAAGCGUGGCAGAGAAUCGCGAAAGAGAACGAAGCGACGGUCACGAAUCUCAAUACAGCUCUCCAACAAACUAGAGAGAGAGUCCCCAGAUGCAGAGUCGUUCUGUGAUUCAUCUAAUUACGGAGUAGUAAACAAUUAGGCAGAACAGAGCAAAACAAUGGCGUGUAGGCUCUGCAAUGCUCGAUGCUCGUGCGUUGUGUUUCAUCACUCAAAAAGAGGUAGUUUAGGUUAAUGUCUAUUCGGUAAUUUCAACUUCUUUAAUUUUUUUUUUUAUUAUUGUUGAAUAAAGAAUAUUGGAAGGUAUUUUUAUA